GGAGCGGCGCGCGCGCGCCCGUCUUUCCCUCGGCGGCCCCCGCGGCUCGGACCCGGGCCGGCAGACAGGCCAUCCAUCAUCCGCCCUCCUCCCGCGGAGCGCCGCAGCCGCCGCGGCCAAUCCGGCGGCAGGUGGGGCCGCACCUGCGCGACAGCCCGCCGCUUCCCUCCGCUCCCUUCGCCGCGCCUCGCGUGCUAGCGGUGCCCUUGUGAGCCACUGCGUUCUCCAAGGCCAGAACGGGACAGUUGACGAUGGUCGUACUUCUCCAUGUUCUGAGACCAGUUUAAACAAAAACAAAAACCAGACAACAACCUUGCAAGGGAAAGAAUUCAGAGUAAAUAAACAGUCUUUUUCUGGGAAGUAAAAUAUUUCCCUAAGAUGGAGAAAUUGAGAUGAGAGCUCAUCCACAAGAUUACCCAUCAAUGAGCACCAAUAGCAACCAAAUCCACUAGAAGACUGGGAGCUUUUAAGUCAAGAAACUUACAUCAGUAUCAUCAUUCCAAGAAGCGGUAUCCAAGCUGUUUUAUCGAAAGUGCGCAUGGGAGAUGGUGCUGUGAGUGGGGAGUGAGUCAAAAACUCCGCUGGGGUGUACAAAAGUCUACUCAAAUGUCCACAGCAUCUGUGGGGGAUGGAGAAUAGUUGGAGGAUCUUUCUCCAGAAUCCUUCUGUUCUGUAGUACAAGUAUUACUCAUUAUAGACUAGCACGAAAAAUCAAGUGAAAUGCGAACUUAAGAGUUUAAAAAGAAUAAAUGGUGCUUUUCUGGCCUAUUAGUAAUAAAUUAAAUAAAAAUAAUUUUAAUUUGUAAGUAAUGAAUGCUAAUCUACAUUGUAUUAAUUGGGCUUAACCAGAGAGUUUUUGUUUACAUACAUUAGGCAAACAAACAAUAGGAAUGAGGAUUUUUAAUAAAGAAGGAAGCCAGAAACACACACACACAAGCACACACACACACACACACACACACACACACACACACACCAAGUAAGAGAAUACUAAAAGAUCAGAGAAAAUGUAAUUAUACUUAUCAAAAUGUUUUAAUGCAGUGGCCUAUUAGUUUCAGAAUAUAAAAUUUAUUUGAUUUGUUGAGCAACUUGGAGCUUAUUUUUUAAUCCUUUCAGAUAAUAGGAACUUGAAACAUACUUGGCUGUGUAUAAGAUAUAUGUGAUAUUAGAAAAUCAUAUAUAUCUGUUAAUAUAUAUUCAAAUAUAUUACUAAGCAAAAAUAUAUUUACAUGUUUAUAUCAAUGAUGCAAUUAAUAAAUGUUUUCACAUCCUGUGUCUCAAUUUAUCCUUACAUAAAACAAGUGAGUUACUUAUUCUUUAACUUCUCUAGGCAAAUUUCAAAUAUUUUCUGAAUAUAACUACAGAAUGCUUGGUUUGUGUCUCUAUGAAAGGUCUUAACACACUCCUGCAAUGAAUUAUAUGCAUAUGGCUCUCCCAUACUGGGAAUGCCUAGAGGAGAGAAACUGUCUUCUUACCAUAUUUGUAUCUAUGGUUCAUGCCUGCUCCACAUAGACCCCUAGGUUUCACUAGAGAGAUCUCAAGACAGUAGGUUUGAAGUAAGAG
rnacentral:lncRNA from 10 species